UGGGGAAUUGUUCACAAUGGGCGCAAGCCUGAUGACGCAACGCCGCGUGGGGGAUGAAGGCCUUCGGGUCGUAAACCCCUGUCGAACGGGACGAAAGACUCUGGAGCUAAUCAUCCGGAGAGUGACGGUACCGUUAAAGGAAGCCACGGCUAACUCUGUGCCAGCAGCCGCGGUAAUACAGAGGUGGCAAGCGUUGUUCGGAAUUACUGGGCGUAAAGGGCGCGUAGGCGGCCUACUAAGUCAGACGUGAAAUCCCCCGGCUUAACCUGGGAACUGCGUCUGAUACUGGAAGGCUAGAGUAUGGGAGAGGGAUGUAGAAUUCCAGGUGUAGCGGUGAAAUGCGUAGAUAUCUGGAGGAAUACCGGGUGGCGAAGGCGGCAUCCUGGACCAUUACUGACGCUGAGGCGCGAAAGCUAGGGGAGCAAACGGGAUUAGAUACCCCGGUAGUCCGUAGCCCUAAACGAUGAAUGCUUGGUGU
rnacentral:rRNA from 1 species